rnacentral:rRNA from 1 species
GGGGAAUAUUGGACAAUGGGCGCAAGCCUGAUCCAGCGAUGCCGCGUGUGUGAAGAAGGUCUUCGGAUUGUAAAGCACUUUUGGCAGGGACGAUGAUGACGGUACCUGCAGAAUAAGCCCCGGCUAACUUCGUGCCAGCAGCCGCGGUAAUACGAAGGGGGCUAGCGUUGCUCGGAAUGACUGGGCGUAAAGGGCGCGUAGGCGGCUUGCACAGUCAGAUGUGAAAUUCCUGGGCUCAACCUGGGGACUGCAUUUGAUACGUGUGGGCUUGAGUGGAGAAGAGGGUCGUGGAAUUUCCAGUGUAGAGGUGAAAUUCGUAGAUAUUGGAAAGAACACCGGUGGCGAAGGCGGCGACCUGGUCUUUAACUGACGCUGAGGCGCGAAAGCGUGGGGAGCAAAC